rnacentral:rRNA from 1 species
CCUACGGGUGGCAGCAGUGAGGAAUAUUGGUCAAUGGACGAGAGUCUGAACCAGCCAAGUAGCGUGAAGGAUGACCGCCCUACGGGUUGUAAACUUCUUUUAUAUGGGAAUAAAAUGUUCCACGUGUGUGCUUUUGUAUGUACCAUAUGAAUAAGAAUCGGCUAACUCCGUGCCAGCAGCCGCGGUAAUACGGAGGAGCCGAGCGUUAUCCGGAUUUAUUGGGUUUAAAGGGAGCGUAGGUUGAUUGUUAAGUCAGUUGUGAAAGUUCGCGGCUCAACCGUAAAAUUGCAGUUGAAACUGGCAGUCUUGAGUACAGUAGAGGUGGGCGGAAUUCGUGGUGUAGCGGUGAAAUGCUUAGAUAUCACGAAGAACUCCGAUUGCGAAGGCAGCUCACUGGACUGCAACUGACACUGAGGCUCGAAAGUGUGGGUAUCAAACAGGAUUAGAUACCCUGGUAGUC